rnacentral:tRNA from 1 species
AAUUAGAUGGCUGAAGAUAGGCGAUAGAUUGUAAAUUUAUAUAUGAGAAAAGUUCUCUCUAAUUA